GUAAAAUUGCAGCUAAUGCACGUAAGAUGAAAGAAAUUGAAAGGACAACAGAGUGUAGAGACCAGCUUAAACACACCACCUCAUCGUGUUUUCAUUCUUCACCAGUACAGCACGUCAGUUCUUCCUCCAUUCACAAAGCAGUGAUGGCGUGCAUCAGAUUCAUCAAGUGCUUGUUUCUCUUUAUAAUUCUGUUCAUCUUAUCUCUCCUGUGCCUAAUUUUCAUGGCAAGCUGGGCCAAGGACCAAGUGUUUCAGGAAUUACUGAAAAGAGUACAAGAAGAAGUUGAUAAAUACAAGGAAGAUGAUGUGUAUAGAAGAGCUGCAAUCACAAAAAUAUUUAAUCAUGCAAAUUCACUGGAUAACAAAGAAAAACUGGAAAUAUUCAAGGAAACCCUUCAAACAGCGAUAGAACAGGAAGAGAGACUGAAGGAAGAAUCCAAGUACAAAGUGACAAUGGCCUCAAAACAAUUCAAUGAAGAAAUGAAGGAACUUAUUCCUGAAUUGGUAGAAGCAAUGAUAUUAUCAUAUUAUUCUCCACCACUGCAGGAAAUGGUUGACAUUGCAUUUCACAUGUCGAAAAAAACCAGGACUUACUUAGAUAAGAAGCUGGAUUUGCUGCAAGAAUAGAGAAAGGAGUAAAUGAUGAGCUUCAGAAAAUUGUAAGAGAAACAAUAAAUUGAACUUUUGUUUCUGUUUUCAUUUGUUGACCUAUGUAACGUAUAUCAUGUAUUUGUGAAAGGACAUAAUCUGAAUUGUUUUUGUGACUUUCUCUAAUUGUAUACUUCUUAGCGGCGUAAGAUCUUGCCCUAUAAUGGUCUCUGAGUGGUAUUAUAAAGUGAAAAGCUUUACUCCUGGUGUGAGGCCUAAACAAGAGCACAGUUGAGCUCUUCAGUCUUGAUGCAAUAAUGACUGCAGUAGUGAAACCUGGAUCCUUGUGUAGGCAGCACAACUUGUCAGUUUGUUGCAGUUAUUUAAGUUCCAGUGUUGCAGUUGUUUAGGCUGUGUUUAACUUCCUUAUCAAAGAGACCAGAAAAAGGCAGACCUGCAUAGUGUAUGAUCCGUUCUGUUCUGAAACUAAACCUGAGGUUUCCAAAUCUAGCUAGUGCUUCCACAUGUAUGAUCUGGUGUUGGCAGCAUGUAACCAGUCACAGACAUGAACAGGUCUACUGGCAAGUUGUGCUCCCACCUCAUGGAUUCUCUGCUGACAGUAAUAUUAUUUUGAUCAUAUUAGCUAAUGUGAUCAAAACAAAACAAAAAUGUUUUGAUCACAUACACAAGAAUAUUAAACACAUAAACACAAACAGUACAUUGUGUGAGUGUGUGUGUGUGUGUGUGCUUGUUGAUGUUUUAUUUACUCCUUUACUUAGAAGAGUUUUUCUGAUUAGAAAAAUACUGCUACAGUGUAUACCAUUACAUAUUAACAUAUAUUAAUUUAGGUAAUAAAAAUUCUUGGUGAUUUAUGUCAAUAAAGGAUUUGUAACUGUGCAAACUGUGACAUUUAUGGGGAAAUAAAGCGGUUGUGGCUACUUGGUUUUUAUAAACUUGAAUGGUACAGUUCUGUCAUGAAAUCUUCAUCAAACAAUUACAAUUUAAGAAAUAUAAUUAUAUUGUUUAUAAUGGUCUUUUUUCCAUAAAUUUAGCAUAACAUAUUAUGGUCAUUUUUAAUGUGGUCAUUAUCUUAUAAUUAUGACAUAAUUCAUGAAAUAUAUGAAUGUUUAAUGGGUUAUCUAAUCAUUAAGUUAUUUAAUUCAACACAAAGGUACUGACUAAGUCUCUGGCUGAUGUACUGAUGAACUGAGCAGUUGUAUUCACUAAUUCAAGAGGUUGAAAUUUGAAUAAUACAUAAAUAUAUUUAUGAAAAUCUCAAUCUAAACAUUUGUGAAUAUUUUUUGAGUGGUGUGUAUGGUGUGCUCAAUACACAUCCAUGCAGUGAGCUAAUAUUGAGGAUGAUGAUGGAGGACAAGACACUGGAAAUUUUCACAGACUCACGCUUGUCUGUCAAGAAUUCCAGCACCAGUUGUCUGAGUCCCAACAAUAAAAGUGGCUAGUGUCUGUGGAAUGAUGGUAUUAAACGCAAAAUUAAAGUCCAGAAAGAGUAGUCAGACAUAUACACUCCAAGUCAAAACUGUGGACACACCUUCUCAUUUAAUGGUUUUUCUUUAUUUUCAUGACUAUUUACAUUGUAGAUUCUCACUGAAGGCACCAUUACACUUUUUUAUUUACUACAUAAUUCCAUAUGUGUUUAUUCGUAGUUUUAACUCAAAACACGUUUUAUAUUUUAGAUUAUUCAAAAUAGCCUCCCUUUGCUUUGAUUACUGCUUUGCACACUCUUGGCAUUAUCUCUAUGAGCUUCAUGAGGUCGUCACCUGAAAUGGUUUUCCCACAGUCUUGAAGAAGUUCCCAGAGAUGCUGAGCACUUGUUGGCCCUUUUGCCUUCACUCUGCGGUCCAUCUCAUCCUAAACCAUCUUGACUGGGUUAGGUGACUGUGGAGGCUAUUAUUAAAUUCCGUUCUUUUGAAUUCUUUUGACGGCAGAAAAAGACUGGACUCAGAGUGGUCAAAGCUCAAAAAAUAAUCUUUAUUUUACAUUUCCAGAAAUGGAGACCCGAACACAUGAAGACAAAAGCUCAGGGCUGAAAGCUUUAGAAGCCAGCAUGGUUAUAUAUAUAUUUC
ensembl:lncRNA